rnacentral:tRNA from 1 species
GGGGUAGCCUAGUGGACAUGGCAUCUGCCCGGUAAGCGGAACACUGUGGGUUCGAUUCCCAUCCCUGGACA